rnacentral:rRNA from 1 species
UACGUAGGGUGCAAGCGUUGUCCGGAAUUAUUGGGCGUAAAGAGCUCGUAGGCGGUCCGUCACGUCGGCUGUGAAAACCUGGGGCUCAACCCCGGGCCUGCAGCCGAUACGGGCGGACUAGAAUUCGGUAGGGGAGACUGGAAUUCCUGGUGUAGCGGUGAAAUGCGCAGAUAUCUGGAGGAACACCGGUGGCGAAGGCGGGUCUCUGGGCCGAUAUUGACGCUGAGGAGCGAAAGCGUGGGGAGCGAACAGG